rnacentral:rRNA from 1 species
GAUGAACGCUGGCGGCGUGCCCAAUACAUGCAAGUCGAGCGAACAGAUAAGGAGCUUGCUCCUUUGAAGUUAGCGGCGGACGGGUGAGUAACACGUGGGUAACCUACCUAUAAGACUGGGAUAACUUCGGGAAACCGGAGCUAAUACCGGAUAACAUUUAGAACCGCAUGGUUCUAAAGUGAAAGAUGGUUUUGCUAUCACUUAUAGAUGGACCCGCGCCGUAUUAGCUAGUUGGUAAGGUAACGGCUUACCAAGGCGACGAUACGUAGCCGACCUGAGAGGGUGAUCGGCCACACUGGAACUGAGACACGGUCCAGACUCCUACGGGAGGCAGCAGUAGGGAAUCUUCCGCAAUGGGCGAAAGCCUGACGGAGCAACGCCGCGUGAGUGAUGAAGGGUUUCGGCUCGUAAAACUCUGUUAUUAGGGAAGAACAAAUGUGUAAGUAACUGUGCACAUCUUGACGGUACCUAAUCAGAAAGCCACGGCUAACUACGUG